rnacentral:lncRNA from 1 species
UUGAAAUCGAUUUUUUUUCUUCAUUUGCUUUGAUGAUUGUGGUUCAAGGUUCAAUUGACUAGUCAAAAUUAGAAUCCAAUCAUUGUGUGUUUUUGUGAAGCAUUAAAACACUGAACUCAUGUUGUUUUUAUGUGUUUAUAUGUUUUAAUUCUGAAUUUUAUUAUGAACUUUUUUAAAAAACUGUAGGUUUUUGUAUACUAAAGGUUUUUCCAUCAAAUAAUCCUUAUAAAGAAAGACUGCCAUGCUUUCAGCAUCAUUAUUUCAAAAUUUGUAUCUAAAAGUUAAGGUCAUGAUGAAGUGGCAUUCAGCCUACUCAUUUGUCAUGGUAGGGAACAGUAAAAUGAACCUGUAUUGUUUUUGAUAUAUUGGUUAAUGUGAAUAAAUUUUGUUUGUGUGUCACCUUGACUUGUAUAAUCAGAGCAUGUAUACAAAUGUAUAUAUGCCAUCAUGUCAUAAUAGUAUAGGUAUAUUAUAUGCACCUUACUUGCCAAAAUGAAUAAUGUUAUUUAUUUGUCUUCUAAAAUGAAUAGAUCUCAUUGACUGUAAUACUAACAUUAUUUUAAGUUUGUUUGACUGCAACAUGGUGCUCUACUAUAGUAUACUCAGAGUUUCAGAUUAAUGUAUGUUAGUUUUUAAAAAGUUUUUAGCAUGAUUUGUUCAGGAUGAGUCAAUUAUUUUUUGCUUACAAUAAGAUCAUGAUCAUUAACAAAGUCAUUAUUGUUGCUAUUGAGAAAUAAGUCUUAAAUUGUUAUAAAUGUGUUUUAAAGGGUAGUUAAAUUAUUUUAUAUAUGUUUUGUGAAAUAGUGGUUUAUGUUAAAUACAAUUUCUACAAUACAUUCAUCUGACAUCUGUCAUUGUCAAUACAUUUUUCACAUUUUCAUUAUAUUUUCUCAAAACACGUAUAUCUAGUUUCAAGCAAAGUUUGAAGGAAGAUGAAACUAAUUUUGUUCUAAUACCAGAGGCAAUAUUUGGUUCCGAUUGACCUUUUUCUUCAAAAAAUCCUCCUCUAAAGCUACAAAGGAAAAGAUUUUUUUUUAAAGAAUUGAUGAUUGGUAGAUCCAUUUCAAAAAGUAAAGUCAGAUGAGUGAUUCUGGCUCCUCAUAGCCUAUUAUAUACUUUGUGCUAUAGAAAAGAGAAAAACUGAUUACUAGUACUAAUAUGUGAUUUAUGUCCCAUAGUCACACAUGACAAAGUGAUAAUUCUGUCUGUGAAAACAAUCCGAUCAAAGUAACAAUGUUCUCUACUUUUGUUAUUUUAUAACAAUUGAAUAAAAAAAUACCAUUUAAUUUGUAUGUCAGUAACACAGGCACUUGUCUCAGAAAAAAAAUUCCUAUAUACCUUUAUAUAAAAGGUAUAUAGGAUUUUUUUUCUAAGACGAGUGCCUGUGGUCAGUAAAUAUCUUCCUAGAAGCAUAAUAAAGUAUUUGUUUUAAGUUAUUUUAUUGCAUAAAAGAUGUUUAGUUUAGUUUUAAAAUGGUUUAUUAUUUUCAUUUUAUAAUCUUUACAUUACAGGGGGCAAAACUUGACUUGACUUGUGCUGUAAUUUUAUACUUUGGACUAUCUUUAUGAAUGUGUAUCUUUUUUCCUGUGCAAUGUUUAUGGCAAUUUGUUAUUUAAUCAUUAAACUUUGUAAUGUAUUAUUGAUUUAUUUAACUUGAACUU